rnacentral:rRNA from 1 species
GACGUAGGGAGCAAGCGUUGUCCGGAUUUACUGGGCGUAAAGAGCGCGUAGGCGGUCUGUUAAGUGUAGAGUGAAAUCUCCAGGGCUCAACCCGGAAACUGCUCUGCAUACUGGCAGACUUGAGGGACUGAGAGGUGAAUGGAAUUCCUGGUGUAGCGGUGAAAUGCGUAGAUAUCAGGAGGAACACCCAUGGCGAAGGCAGUUCACUGGCAGUCUCCUGACGCUGAGGCGCGAAAGCGUGGGUAGCAAACAGG